UACGGAGGGUGCGAGCGUUGUCCGGAAUCAUUGGGCGUAAAGGGCGCGUAGGUGGCGGGACAAGCGUGCGGUGAAAGCCUGGGGCUCAACCCCGGGUCGGCCGUGCGAACUGUUUUGCUUGAGCACUGUAGAGGCAGGCGGAAUUCCGGGUGUAGCGGUGGAAUGCGUAGAGAUCCGGAAGAACACCGGUGGCGAAGGCGGCCUGCUGGCCAGUAGCUGACACUGAGGCGCGACAGCGUGGGGAGCAAACAGG
rnacentral:rRNA from 1 species